UACGAAGGGGGCUAGCGUUGCUCGGAAUUACUGGGCGUAAAGCGCACGUAGGCGGCUUUUUAAGUCGGAGGUGAAAUCCUGGAGCUCAACUCCAGAACUGCCUUCGAUACUGAAGAGCUCGAGUCCGGGAGAGGUGAGUGGAACUGCGAGUGUAGAGGUGAAAUUCGUAGAUAUUCGCAAGAACACCAGUGGCGAAGGCGGCUCACUGGCCCGGUACUGACGCUGAGGUGCGAAAGCGUGGGGAGCAACAGG
rnacentral:rRNA from 1 species